rnacentral:rRNA from 1 species
UACGAGGGGUGCAAGCGUUAUUCGGAAUUAUUGGGCGUAAAGGGUGCGUAGGCGGCGCGUUAAGUCAACUGUUAAAUCUCCUGGCCUAACUGGGAGCUUGCAGUGGAAACUGGCGUGCUAGAGUUUGGAAGAGAGAAGUGGAAUUCUCGGAGUAGCGGUAAAAUGCGUAGAUCUCGAGAGGAACACCGAUGGCGAAGGCAGCUUCUUGGUCCAACACUGACGCUGAGGCACGAAAGCGUGGGGAGCAAACAGG